GUGAUCAUCGAAUCUUUGAACGCACAUUGCGCCCUUUGGUAUUCCAAAGGGCAUGCCUGUUCGAGCGUCAUUUGUACCUUCAAGCUUUGCUUGGUGUUGGGCGUUUUUUUGUCUCCCUCUUUCUGGGAGACUCGCCUUAAAACGAUUGGCAGCCGGCCUACUGGUUUCGGAGCGCAGCACAUUUUUUGCGCUUUGUAUCAGGAGAAAAGGACGGUACUCCAUCAAGACUCUACAUUUUUCACUUUUGACCUCGGAUCAGGUAGGGAUACCCGCUGAACUUAAGCAUAUCAAUAAGCGGAAGAA
rnacentral:rRNA from 1 species